AAAUCUGUCACAGUUAAGGAAAAAGGUCGAUAAAACACCUGUGGACUCACCUGGUUUGUAGGUUAGCCGUAAAUAUUCGCAAAACUGAAGCGUACGACGAGUGCGGACUGAACUUUAGUCUUAUCGGUGGAAAAAUGCGUUUUUUCUUAUCGCAAAAUAUUUAAAAAUCGUGGAAUUCUUAAACAAACGGCGGUCACUCGCCCAGUGGCGUGCGUCUCUACCCGUUUUAGAAAAAAAAAUCAAAAUGUGUCUGAACCGCGUUAUGUUAGUGCGAAUUAACUAGUUGUAAAAUAUGGUUAAAUGCGCCAGACGUGUGUGAUAGACGUCGCCUUUGAAUAGCAAAUAGGUUUUUAUAGCUUUGGCGUAAGAGGCACGUCUAUGGUCCGAUGAUUUAAAGGUUUUGAAUUUCAAUCUGAGCGGUCACGGUGGCUGUGCCUUGUGCGCGUGCUGACAUCUGCCCUCCGUUCGUAUGGCGACUGCGAUAAAGAGGAAUAUUUCAUUCCAGCAGGCACCUGUUGGUCAAGUUGGCGAACGUUCAACUUUUUCAUGUCCGACAUGCAGAUAAAAUAAUUAAGGACAAAUUUAAUCAACUUUCACUUCCACGAGCUAUUUAGAAAUUAUCAUUAUCUCGCGCAUACAGGAAAAAAUUAUUGCGAAUUGUGCGACCACAAAAUGUAUUCUUUUGCAACAACGGCAAUGACAUUAAAAUGGUGUAAAACUAUUUCGUUGGCAAUCAAGAGUGCAUAAACCACAUUCUUGAUCGUUUGCAUGCAAAUUGGCGGCCAUUUUGACAAUAAGUGUGUUUUUGUUUCGCACUUAAUGGCGCUCUCCUGCUGUCACUUGAGACUUCCUUUGUUUUUUCUACGCUUGCUACAUGGUGUGGUACCUUCCGGGUGUCAACGCAGUUCAAGUGGCAUAACAGCCGUUUUUUGCAACAAAAACAAUUGCAGUUAUAAUAAACUGAUUAAUACGUAAACAACGAUUGUUGCAAUAAUUAUAAAUGACGUCUCGUUUCGUAAAGAUGGUAAUUAUUGUUAUUAGCUGGAAAGGAUGUCUUUAAACAUAUACUUGAUGUACGGAACAUGCAUUAUUCGUCGGUGCAAGCGCUCUUUGAAGGGCACUAGGCACAGCAAAGGCCAAACGUCACACUUCACUUUCAAGACUUGCUCCAAUUCAGCACAUUCUCGAUCUCAUGGUACAUUUAGGUAAAAAAUUGAUCCAAUAAAAAAUACAAUUCUGUGUCUGUGUUUUUUUCUUGCAAGCUGUAUUUUUAUUAAGUUUAUAUUCUGUUGUUGUUUACUUUGAAUUAGCGAAAUUCAACAUAAAGGAAAAAUUUAAUGUCUCCUAAUCUACGACAAAAGUUAUGCCAAAAAUUUACUAUGGAAAGUAUUAUGUAAAUGAGCAUAAUAGUCCUAUAUCUAGGCAAUAAUAAUCAUCAAGGUUUGCACACAGAUAAGGUUUAAAUAAGUUUAAUUAUGUAACAAGUGAAAAUUUUAUUUACAAUAGCUAUUAAUAGCCGAAAUCAAAGGAAUAAUAAAAGUCAUAUUGUGCGACAUUUAAUAAAAACUAAACAAAAAAAGCAAAAAAA